ensembl:lncRNA
AGUAGGGUGAUUACACACUGUAGACGUUAGAGGUUCUUCGGAGGAUAGGGAAAAAAACGAUUAUGAACUGUUAGACGUUUUGCAAUCCGUGGAAUUCUGAAGUUUAAUUGCAAAUGCAGAGAGAGUCAACAUAUUAACAAAAAGAGGAAGGGUUUCCCUAAUCUCCCCAAAAUAAUGGCAACCGUUGCAUGCGUGACUGAGAGGAUCUACUGAUUCUUAUGGAGGACAUACCACAAUUGUUGUAAAACAGAGCGACAUGACUGAACGUGCCACACAAGUCUAACAAGAAGGAAACGGCAGAGGACUUCAUACAUGGCACUGGGGGCUCCAAUCGGGCGAGAAGCAUUAUUCAUUCAUACAGCAUCAGUAGAGCACACCAUAUUUUGUUCUACCAGUCCUACAAUGAGAAUGGUGUAAAGCCUACCAUCGAAAUGAGGACAGCCCAAGGCAACCACAGGUUUAAUCUGAAACAUAAAGGAUUUUCAGUGUUGUUAACGUCAUCAACAACUAUGCAUAGGACAAAGCAUUAUUUUGUCCAGGAUACAAAGCCUUUAUGGGAAGCUGUUGCCGCCUCACUGGACAAAAGCAACCAUGAAAAGGUGGGAAAAUUCAGGAUUUUUUGCUGGAAGAGCGGUGGAAUAGAUUUGUACCUCGCUGCAGCGACACGUGCUACAGAGGCAGUGUCCUAGACCUCCGGACCGCCCGUGGACAUGAUUUCAUAUCAUUGUUCACUAGAGACCAUGUGAAGAUGAACAACGUAACUCUCACACAAGUUAUAUCUUUUUUUUAAUUGUAUUUGGUCGAUUGAAGAUCAAUUCUCAAUUUCAGCGAUGACUUGGCUGAAGGCAAACACUUAACACAAAGGAAAUAAAAGAAAUCCCAUGUGAGGAACAGAGCAAGG